GAAAGCUAUUUAGGUAGCGCCUCGUGAAUUCAUCUCCGCGGGUCGAGCACUGUUGCGGCUAGGGGGCCAACAAGGCUUACCUCCCCGAUGCAAAGUGCGAAUACCGGGGAAUGUUAUCACGGGAGACACACGGCGGGUGCUAACGUCCGUCGUGAAGAGGGAAACAACCCAGACCGCCAGCUAAGGUCCCAAAGUCAUGGUUAAGUGGGAAACGAUGUGGGAAGGCCCAGACAGCCAGGAUGUUGGCUUAGAAGCAGCCAUCAUUUAAAGAAAGCGUAAUAGCUCACUGGUCGAGUCGGCCUGCGCGGAAGAUGUAACGGGGCUAAACCAUGCACCGAAGCUGCGGCAGCGAACGUAUCACCCAAGACAACUUUACGGAGUUGACGAUUGACGGAGCGAAGCGACGUCAAAGCGUUCAUUAAAGUCGAGUUGGCUUAGGGAUACGUUCGUUGGGUAGGGGAGCGUUCUGUAAGCCUGUGAAGGUGUGUCGUGAGGCAUGCUGGAGGUAUCAGAAGUGCGAAUGCUGACAUAAGUAACGAUAAAGCGGGUGAAAAGCCCGCUCGCCGGAAGACCAAGGGUUCCUGUCCAACGUUAAUCGGGGCAGGGUGAGUCGACCCCUAAGGCGAGGCCGAAAGGCGUAGUCGAUGGGAAACGGGUUAAUAUUCCCGUACUUGGUGUUACUGCGAAGGGGGGACGGAGAAGGCUAUGUUGGCCGGGCGACGGUUGUCCCGGUUUAAGCGUGUAGGUGUGUGUUCCAGGUAAAUCCGGUUCACUUUAACACUGAGGCGUGACGACGAGGCACUACGGUGCUGAAGCAACAAAUGCCCUGCUUCCAGGAAAAGCCUCUAAGCAUCAGGUAACACGAAAUCGUACCCCAAACCGACACAGGUGGUCAGGUAGAGAAUACCAAGGCGCUUGAGAGAACUCGGGUGAAGGAACUAGGCAAAAUGGUGCCGUAACUUCGGGAGAAGGCACGCUGACACGUAGGUGAAGUGAUUUACUCAUGGAGCUGAAGUCAGUCGAAGAUACCAGCUGGCUGCAACUGUUUAUUAAAAACACAGCACUGUGCAAACACGAAAGUGGACGUAUACGGUGUGACGCCUGCCCGGUGCCGGAAGGUUAAUUGAUGGGGUCAGCGCAAGCGAAGCUCCUGAUCGAAGCCCCGGUAAACGGCGGCCGUAACUAUAACGGUCCUAAGGUAGCGAAAUUCCUUGUCGGGUAAGUUCCGACCUGCACGAAUGGCGUAAUGA
rnacentral:rRNA from 1 species